rnacentral:rRNA from 1 species
UACGUAGGGGGCGAGCGUUGUCCGGAAUCAUUGGGCGUAAAGCGCGUGUAGGCGGCCCGGUAAGUCCGCUGUGAAAGUCCAGGGCUCAACCCUGGGAUGCCGGUGGAUACUGUCGGGCUCGAGUCCGGAAGAGGCGAGUGGAAUUCCUGGUGUAGCGGUGAAAUGCGCAGAUAUCAGGAGGAACACCAAUGGCGAAGGCAGCUCGCUGGGACGUGAACUGACGCCUGAGACGCGAAAGCGUGGGGAGCAAACAGG